rnacentral:misc_RNA from 1 species
CUGUGAGAUUACAUAUGUAUAUAGUGUUAAUGCUAUAAGAGUGUAGUAUCAACUCACAAAGUUAUCAGGUUAAAUAGCUUUAUCAACUAAUAAAAAUGUUAUUGCAUAACUAAUGUUAUACUGAUAGCCCCGCCACGAUAUCCAGCGAAAAUUAUUUUGCUGAGUAUCGUAGUAAAAGUUAAGAUAUGAUGUUAAGAAUUUUUUUGAGUCGUGCAAUAACAUUAACAGCAAACUAUAAUACAAAUCUAUCUUUUUAAAAGUUUGUAU